rnacentral:rRNA from 1 species
UUCUGACCUCGAAUCAGGUGGGACUACCCGCUGAACUUAAGCAUAUCAAUAAGCGGAGGAAAAGAAACUAACAAGGAUUCCCCUAGUAACGGCGAGUGAAGUGGGAUGAGCUCAAAUUUAAAAUCUGGUAGUCUUUGGCUGCCCGAGUUGUAAUCUAG